AAAGUUCCAUAGCAUAUAGUCCCAGGACAAAGUUCCAUAGCAUACAAGAUUGAAUGGUGACUGUCACGUUUUGGCACAAGAACAAAUAACGUGCUUGAAAUCAUCAAUAUGCCAAACAGACAAAAGAACCACCAACCAUACUCGAUCUCAUACAUUCGGAGAACCACCAAGGUUGUUGUCGCUUGGGCCUCGUGCAUGUGAAGAUCCAUCAGUAUUAGAUCCAUGGCCUGAUUGAUGAGGCAUCGUCAUAGCGGGCAUACCAUUCUGGGUACAAUAAGCCUGCAAAUUAUGUUUGAGUGAAGAUUAAGUACCGGUGGUAGAAGAGUUCAUGUAUGUCUUUGGCAAUUAAGGAACUAACUGCAAACAUUGCAAAGCAUUGACUAGUUUGUGCCAACACCGCCUGCUGCACCGCCUGCUGCACCGCUUGCUGCGUCCUCUCAUCAGCCAGUCGCCUCUCCUCCGCCCUCUCCUCUGCCGCCACUCGCCUCAACUCCGCCAGUCGGGC
rnacentral:lncRNA from 1 species